GACGAACGCUGGCGGCGUGCUUAACACAUGCAAGUCGAACGGAAAGGCCCUGCUUUUGUGGGGUGCUCGAGUGGCGAACGGGUGAGUAACACGUGAGUAACCUGCCCUUGACUUUGGGAUAACUUCAGGAAACUGGGGCUAAUACCGGAUAGGAGCUCCUGCUGCAUGGUGGGGGUUGGAAAGUUUCGGCGGUUGGGGAUGGACUGGCGGCUUAUCAGCUUGUUGGUGGGGUAGUGGCUUACCAAGGCUUUGACGGGUAGCUGGCCUGUGAGGGUGACCGGCCACAUUGGGACUGGGAUACGGCCCAGCCUCCUACGGGAGGCAGCAGUGGGGAAUAUUGCACAAUGGGCUGAAGCCUGAUGAAGCAACGCCGCGUGCGGGAUGACGGCCUUCGGGUUGUAAACCGCUUUCGCCUGUGACGAAGCGUGAGUGACGGUAAUGGGUAAAGAAGCACCGGCUAACUACGUG
rnacentral:rRNA from 1 species